UUGGUUGGCCCAAGAUUUUUAUUUUUCUCUUCUUUGCAUGGGCCAUCAAACCCAUGCAUUUCUUUUUCUUGUGACAGUGUUACAAAUUGCUGGUUUUGUACAGCUUGUGGAAAACGGUUUUGGUUGCCUCAUUUUAACUCGUUUUCUUUAUUUUUAUAUAAACGUUUCUAAACCCUAAUUUAUUCAUCAUAAAUCUCUUAAACCAUAGCCGUCAUUCUUUAUUGAAAAACGCUAAAUUCUAACGCCCAAACUCAUUAUCUUCUUGACUGAAAUCUCGGUAAGUUUCUGAGCUUUGUUCUCAAAUUAGUUUAAAAACCGAUGAUUCCGUUUCCUGAUCAGUUCUUCCUCAAUUUAGCAUCGAAUUGAGAACCGUUUCCUCGCUGCUUCGGAAUCGAUUUCGACCCGUCUACUGUUCGUGCUUCAGAGGCGAACCAGGAUUAGUUGCUUGCCGGUAUUCACGUGGAUUAGCAAGCAGGUUAUGAUCUGAGAGAGUCUGGUGAUCUCCGCAUUUACUUUUCCUCGGAGGUUCCAUUUAUUUUAGUAGAACUGUGAAACUGUUUUAUUCUUAGACCGCAGUAGUAACUAGACGUCUUUAUUAUUAUUAUAUUUUUGUCGGAUUGGU